rnacentral:rRNA from 1 species
UACGGAAGGCAGCAGUGGGGAAUAUUGCACAAUGGGCGCAAGCCUGAUGCAGCCAUGCCGCGUGUAUGAAGAAGGCCUUCGGGUUGUAAAGUACUUUCAGCGGGGAGGAAGGCGAUGUGGUUAAUAACCGCGUCGAUUGACGUUACCCGCAGAAGAAGCACCGGCUAACUCCGUGCCAGCAGCCGCGGUAAUACGGAGGGUGCAAGCGUUAAUCGGAAUUACUGGGCGUAAAGCGCACGCAGGCGGUCUGUUAAGUCAGAUGUGAAAUCCCCGGGCUUAACCUGGGAACUGCAUUUUGAAACUGGCAGGCUUGAGUCUCGUAGAGGGGGUAGAAUUCCAGGUGUAGCGGUGAAAUGCGUAGAGAUCUGGAGGAAUACCGGUGGCGAAGGCGGCCCCUGGGACGAGACUGACGCUCAGGGU